AGGCGCGAAACCUUCGCAAUGCGCGUAAGCGUGACGAGGGGACUCUGAGUGGUAUUAGCUCUUGCUAAUGCCUUUUGCCUAGUGUAAAAGCGGCCGUCACACGGCUGAUUAUAAAGCUAGGAGAAUAAGGGUGUGGGCAAGACUGGUGGCAGCCGCCGCGGUAACACCAGCGCCUCGAGUGAUACCCACGAAUAUUGGGCCCAAAGGGUUCGUAGCCGGCCUUGUAAGUUCGCUGUGAAAUGUUAUCGCUUAACGAUAACGCGUGCAGUGAAUACUGCAGGGCUUGGGAGCGGGGGAGGGAAGAAGUACUUCUGGGGUAGCGGUAAAAUGCGUUGAGCCUAGAAGGACUUCCAGUGGCGAAGGCGUCUUCCCAAAACGCGUCCGACGGUGAGGAACGAAAGCUGGGGGAGCAAAUCGGAUUAGAUACCCGAGUAGUCCCAGCUGUAAAUGAUGUAGACUUCGGUGUUUCUGCGGCGUAAGCCGUAGAAGUGCUGUAGAGUAGUUGUUAAGUCUACCGCCUGGGGAGUACGAGCGCAAGCUUGAAACUUAAAGGAAUUGGCGGGGGAGGA
rnacentral:rRNA from 1 species